GGACAAUCAACUAAUCAUUGCUUGAACUGGAGCAACAAGAACAAGAGGAAGAAGCAAGACACACUGAAUAGAAGGAAAUUGAAAUCUUAUUUUAGGAUGCAUAGAAGUUAAAAUCUUAAUUUUUUUAUGCAUAGACAUAGACUUCCUUUUCAUCUAAGCUUGAGCCUUUUUUCUAUGCUUAGGCCUUGUUUAGUUCACCCCAAAAAUCAAAAACUUUUCAAGAUUAGUUAUCCAUGUUUCUUUUUAUUUAUUAUUAGAACUGAUUUCUAUGCAAUAUUAGAGUACAUUUUUAUACAUUAUCUGAGCAUAUUUCUAUACGUUAUUGUUAGCUUCUUUCUAUGCAUUCUUAGAAUAAUUAU
rnacentral:lncRNA from 1 species